UCUUCUCCUUCUCCUUCUCCUGUACUCCUCUAAUCGGCCUUCCUCUCCCACUAUCUUCCAUUCAUCAUCUUCAAUUUAUCAUUUCUGUGUUGAAGGUACGGUUAUCAUUCUUGCUAAAUCUUUACAUAGAAUUUGAGGAUGGAUCUUCUUCUUGACAAAUUCGUAACUCAAACCCUAAAAUCCAACAUUUUCCUCUGCUUUUUCUUAAUUCGGUUCAAUCAUUGUUCUAUCAUUCAUCUUUUUCCUGUUGAUUUCGUUACAUCUUGAAAGAUCUACAAACAGGAAAAAACAUCAACGGAAAGAUUUGUGAGUAAAAACGAUGAAGAUUAUUCACAUGAGAUAAAAUGAACACCGGUUUGAAUGUACGCCUAGAACUAUAUAUGGGUCAUGGCCAUGAAAUAGCUUGGUCAAAUGGGUCGAUCCAUAUAUGUUUUAAUAGCAAAUGGUCUGGUUUUAUGAAAUAGCUUGGUCAAAUGAGUCACAAUGUAGUUUGAAAGUUUGGAACAAGUGAACAACUAUGCAAUGACCCGUUACUCGAUAUGUAUGCUGUUGGAAAUGAAGCUCAGUGGCAAUAAAUUAGGACAUCAACAACUUCUGUGACUUCAGUUCCAAAGCCACUGAAGUUUUUGCGUCCACAUUAUGGAACUCUUAAAUCAAAUUGCUUGCAAAUAUACUAUCAGUUUUGUGGCUUUGACAAUGUAUGCAAAGGGUGAUCGGGAGAGUUUGAAGUAUUGAUUGCUGGGUUCUGAAAGUGAUAUCGGUUCCUGGGGUCAUGAGUAUGUUAGGAAUUUGGCCGGUGAAAUUGCACAAGAGUAUUCAAAAAGAGUGAAUGAGGAAGCAAACGUGGAUGAUCUAAUAGAACUUGUGGAACACGCUCCCCACGAGUUGGUAAUAAUUGUGUUGAAUGAACCGGACAUCUUGACAACCGAGUAUGCAAUUAAGGGGAAGAUAAUUAGUCUAUGGAGGAUACCGGUGAAUAACAAUAAAAAUCGAACCUAUUGUAUCGAGAUGAU
rnacentral:lncRNA from 1 species